UACGAAGGGGGCGAGCGUUGUUCGGAUUUACUGGGCGUAAAGGGCGCGCAGGCGGCUUUUCAAGUCAGGCGUGAAAGCCCCGGGCUUAACCUGGGAACUGCGUCUGGGACUGAAGGGCUAGAGAUCGGGAGAGGAGAGUGGAAUUCCCAGUGUAGAGGUGAAAUUCGUAGAUAUUGGGAAGAACACCGGUGGCGAAGGCGGCUCUCUGGACCGAUACUGACGCUGAGGCGCGAAAAGCGUGGGGAGCAAACAGGG
rnacentral:rRNA from 1 species